rnacentral:tRNA from 1 species
GCGUCGGUACUCAAGCGGUCAACGAGGGCAAACUGUAAAUUUGCUGCCCCAUGGGCUACGGAGGUUCGAAUCCUCCCCGGCGCA